CAUCAUCUUCCUCAAUUAUUCCAUUUUUAGCAGCACACACACAUCUAUGCCCAUGAUUUGUGCACAUUGUGCCCAAUUCAUCCCACAAGCCUUUAAGCUUGUUAAAGUAUGAGGCUAUGUCUAAGGAGCCUUGAGAUGUGUGGGAGGGUUCCCUUUUUAAUUCAAAAAUAUUGGUCUUGUUAGGGGUACCAUAUCUUUCUCAAUUUGGGACCAUAUACUCUGUGCAGUAUCAGAAUACUGCACACUAUCAGCAAUUUG
rnacentral:lncRNA from 1 species